rnacentral:lncRNA from 1 species
CAGACGCCAGAGAGCCUGGAUUUCCUCAAGGUCCCGGACCAGGGAGCUGCAGGGGUCAGGAGACAAACAACCAGUCGGCCUCCCCCAGCAGGGGGCAGACCCAAGCCCCAGCCCAAGCCCAAGCCUCAGGUCAGGGGCUGGGGGCUGGGGGCUGGGCUGCUGGCUUUGCUUUCUCUGGGUCUUCAAUUAGAAUGUGGCUGGCCCAUAUUGGUUUGUGUUUAAAUGCUGUACUUACUACAAGAAGGAUCUUUUUUCAAGCUGUACAUUUAUAAAAACAGAUCAUAUACUGUAUAUAUAAAAAUCUUGAGAUGGUAGAAACAUGUAUGAAUGUACUAAGUAGUAUUCCACUGUACUCAUUCAUAAGGUAGGUUUUCUUACAAAACUCACACCAGGUACUUAAAGAUGUGCUCUGCUUUUUUCCAACUACGGAGUGUCACUGCUUUCUAGGUCAGUCCCUGCAGACUCUUCUCAACUCUUUCCCUAUAGGAAACUUACUCCGCGUCCUGCCCCCACCUCCUAAAUAAAUAAAGGAAUCGGCGAA